rnacentral:rRNA from 1 species
AUUGAACGCUGGCGGCAUGCCUUACACAUGCAAGUCGAACGGCAGCACGGGUGCUUGCACCUGGUGGCGAGUGGCGAACGGGUGAGUAAUACAUCGGAACGUACCUUAUCGUGGGGGAUAACGCAGCGAAAGCUGUGCUAAUACCGCAUACGCCCCGAGGGGGAAAGCGGGGGAUCGAAAGACCUCGCGCGAUUCGAGCGGCCGAUGCCUGAUGAGCUUGUUGGUGGGGUAAAAGCCCACCAAGGCGACGAUCAGUAGCUGGUCUGAGAGGACGAUCAGCCACACUGGGACUGAGACACGGCCCAGACUCCUACGGGAGGCAGCAGUGGGGAAUUUUGGACAAUGGGGGCAACCCUGAUCCAGCAAUGCCGCGUGAGUGAAGAAGGCCUUCGGGUUGUAAAGCUCUUUUGUCAGGGAAGAAACACCGGCUCUAACACAGUCCGGGAAUGACGGUACCUAAAGAAUAAGCACCGGCUAACUACGUGCCAGCAGCCGCCGUAA